CCGCGCGCCUGGGGAGCGGGUCUGGCUGCUGGGGGCGGGGGGGGGGGGGCGUGGGGGGCGCACGACCCUCCCCACGUCACCCACCCGGACGGGGCACUUGGCCACGAAGCUGCCUGGUGCUGGACUCGCCCCGCAUCCCAACCUGGCUUUUAUUUUAUUUUAUUUUUUUAAGUUAUUAACGAAAUCUGAAUGUCGGGAGCUUGCUUCCGACCAGAGGGUGAACUUGACCGCGUCCGGCCCUCACACGACCACCUCGCCCCCCAGCCAGGGCCCCCGCUGCUCCAUGUGAACCGCUAGUGAACGGGGUUCGAAGAUCGGAAAAAAUAUAUAUAUAUUUGGUGUUAGCCUCAGACUGAGUGUGUGCGCCACCGGGUGAAGGCGGCCUGAAACCCCCGAGCGACCCAGACGCCUCGCCUGCGGCUGCUCCUGUGACCUGUGGCCUCGGGACACCGGGGAGAGCCGUCCCGGUCCGCCGGGAGCCCUGCUUCCGAGCCCGCGCUCCUGUGCGCAAGGUCAGGCAACAGAGUAUCGCCCGGGCGCUUCUUUGUGUCGCUUCCCCGCCUCCAAGGACGCGCGCGACCCCUGUUGGUGGAGGGGCGCCAUCGCAGCCCGGCCCGCCCACCCGCGUCCUGCGGGGUCCUCCCACCCGCCGCGGGGGACUGUCCCCCAGCGCCCACCUCUCCCACCUCAGCCCCCACCCCCGCAGCUCCAGGGCCACAGCCACGCCCAGUUCCUCCUUCCGACCUGCUCUUCCUCCCCUGUCCCUGCGUGGCCAGCGCUCACCAUCCACGAAGACAACCCCAGGCCCCUGGCCUGGCCUCCCGCAGACAGCGGUCCACUCAACCCACCGAAUGGGGUCCUCGCCCUGCUGACCGGACCGGCGCUAACCCCUCCCGCCGCGCUGCCUGCUCCUCCAGGCCUUCCUCCAACGCGGAUGUUGACCCCACAGGACCGACUCACGGGUCCCCUGGGGCCCAGUCUCUCUCCCUGGCACAUUCACUGCUCUGUAUUUUGGGGUCCCUAUGCUAAGACUGCAGGGUCCCCCGCGCUGGUCGGCCCCAGGUUUGCACAUCGGGUGCUGCGGUCCAGACCAGUAGCACGCUGGGGAGGUCAAGAGAAGGGCUGGGGAGCCACAGCGCCCCCCUGUGGUCAUCGUGCCCACAACGCUCAAUCCGAGGCCCUUGGUUUCUUUUUAAACAUGUUUUAUGGAUUUUAGAUUGAUUUUAGAGAGGAAGGGGGAGAAGCACCAUCAAUCAAUCGGCUGCGUCCUGCACGCCCCCCAACUGGGAUUGGGCCUGCAACCCGGGUAUGCGCCCUGUCUGGGAAUUGAGCCAUGAUCUCCUGGUUCAUAGGUCAACGCUCAGCCACUGUGCCACACGGGCCAGCAGGAUGGACUUUUUGAUAAAGGGUGCUGGGAUAAUGGACACCCACAUGGGGAAAAUGCAUCAAAGCCCAACUCCAGGUGGAUGGCAGACUACGUUUAAAAGCAAAACUGCUUUAGUGUGGCUCAGCAAGGUUGCUGGCUCGAUUCCUGGUUAGGGCACAUGCCCGGGUUGCAGGUUAAAUGCCUGGUUGGGGGUGCGCAGGAGGCAGCCGAUAGAUGUUUUACUCUCACAUCAAUGUUUCUCUCCCUUUCUCUCUAAAAAUCAAUGUUGAAAAAAUAUGAAAAAAAUAUUUCAAAAAUAUGAAAAAUAUUAGAGGCCUCACACAACUUCAGGGUUUAUUAUAAAGCAACAGCCAUGGGGAUGGUUUGGCUCAUGCAGAAAGGCAUUUUCUGAGACUUAUAUUGAAUGUUCUCUUAUUUAGAGCCACCAUGUGUCACCCGAUAUAUUCAGAAAGGUUUGGGGACAUAAAAAUAUUAAUUCAUCUAUACCACUGCCAAUAAAAUGUUUUUAAAAUGGAA